GACGAACGCUGGCGGCGUGCUUAACACAUGCAAGUCGAACGGAAAGGCCCCCUUGUGGGGUACUCGAGUGGCGAACGGGUGAGUAACACGUGAGUAACCUACCCUUGACUUUGGGAUAACUUCAGGAAACUGGGGCUAAUACCGGAUAGGAGCUCCUGCUGCAUGGUGGGGGUUGGAAAGUUUCGGCGGUUGGGGAUGGACUCGCGGCUUAUCAGCUUGUUGGUGGGGUAGUGGCUCACCAAGGCUUUGACGGGUAGCCGGCCUGAGAGGGUGACCGGCCACAUUGGGACUGAGAUACGGCCCAGACUCCUACGGGAGGCGGCAGUGGGGAAUAUUGCACAAUGGGCGGAAGCCUGAUGCAGCAACGCCGCGUGCGGGAUGACGGCCUUCGGGUUGUAAACCGCUUUCGCCUGUGACGAAGCGUGAGUGACGGUAAUGGGUAAAGAAGCACCGGCUAACUACG
rnacentral:rRNA from 1 species